rnacentral:rRNA from 1 species
GCGUAAAGGGCUCGCAGGCGGUUUCUUAAGUCUGAUGUGAAAGCCCCCGGCUCAACCGGGGAGGGUCAUUGGAAACUGGGAAACUUGAGUGCAGAAGAGGAGAGUGGAAUUCCACGUGUAGCGGUGAAAUGCGUAGAGAUGUGGAGGAACACCAGUGGCGAAGGCGACUCUCUGGUCUGUAACUGACGCUGAGGAGCGAAAGCGUGGGGAGCGAACAGGAUUAGAUACCCUGGUAGUCCACGCCGUAAACGAUGAGUGCUAAGUGUUAGGGGGUUUCCGCCCCUUAGUGCUGCAGCUAACGCAUUAAGCACUCCGCCUGGGGAGUACGGUCGCAAGACUGAAACUCAAAGGAAUUGACGGGGGCCCGCACAAGCGGUGGAGCAUGUGGUUUAAUUCGAAGCAACGCGAAGAACCUUACCAGGUCUUGACAUCCUCUGACAACCCUAGAGAUAGGGCUUUCCCUUCGGGGACAGAGUGACAGGUGGUGCAUGGUUGUCGUCAGCUCGUGUCGUGAGAUGU